CCCGCCGUGCGCCAAUCCCGGGGGCAGAGACCCGGGUCGAACCCCAGGGGAGCAGCAGGGUCCCAGGGUAGAGAGCCAGGCGCGGAGCGGGGUGGGGGCGCGCGGAAGGCGCGCGCGCGCGGGAGGGCCCCGCCUCGGCCGGCUCUUCCCCUCCCCCCUCCCGCCUCCGGUCGGCUGCUGGGGCGCGCGCCUCGCCUCGCACCCCCACCCCCGACUCUCUGCGCUCCGCCGGGUCCGCCGCGCUGCCGAAGCCGUGAGCCGGCCCACCGAGCGGUUCCGGGUAUAGGGUUCACAGGUCAGAGUUGACUCCCUGAAAAGUGCAGCCGGUUUGAAAUGCAAGAUGGCGGCGGCGGGGCUCUGAGAGGCGCGGCGGCCCCUGCAGGUGAUGGCAGAUAGGUACUUUGGACCUGUUAGUAAUGAUGGCCUGAGCUAAACACCUCCUAAUUUGAAGGGACACCCUUCCGUGUCAAAGAACAGAAUGGGGAGGAGACUGUGGCAGGUGAUUGGAGUUGUGCUUCAAAAAUUUCAGCAGUUCUGCAGUAUUUUAUUUGCCAACCAUAAGCUCUUUACUUGAUUGCACCAUGAAAAAGCUGCUAAUGAGACUUGCUGAGCACAAAGACAGACUUGAAGAACCAAAAGCCAUUGUUUUCAAAUGAAGGAUACUGAACAGUUUUAAGCCCCAAUGCUUUUUAAUCACCACUGAGAUUUUCCCCCCAUAACAUCAGAAUGGCAAGCAGGCGAAAAUCUACAACACCCUGCAUGGUCCUUGCCAGUGAACAGGAUCCAGACCUCGAGUUGGUAUCAGAUUUCGACGAAGGUCCGCCUGUACUUACACCCAUAGAAAACACCAGAACAGAGAGUGUCUCAAGUGAUGAAGAAGUUCAUGAGUCCGUGGAUUCUGACAAUCAGCAAAAUAAAAAAGUUGAAGGUGGCUAUGAAUGUAAAUACUGUACUUUCCAAACUCCAGAUCUAAAUAUGUUUACUUUUCAUGUGGAUUCAGAACAUCCCAAUGUAGUGCUAAAUUCAUCCUAUGUUUGUGUUGAAUGCAAUUUUCUUACCAAAAGGUAUGAUGCACUUUCUGAGCAUAAUCUGAAAUAUCACCCAGGAGAAGAGAAUUUUAAGUUGACUAUGGUAAAACGAAAUAACCAGACAAUCUUUGAACAAACAAUAAAUGAUCUGACUUUUGAUGGUAGUUUUGUUAAGGAGGAGAAUUCAGAGCAAGCUGAAUCUACAGAAGUUUCUUCUUCAGGAAUAUCUAUCAGUAAAACCCCUAUCAUGAAAAUGAUGAAAAAUAAAGUGGAGAACAAACGGAUUACAGUUCAUCGUAAUUCAGCUGAGGACGUUCCGGAAGAGAAAGAGAACGAAAUCAAACCAGACCGUGAAGAAACUGUGGAAAAUCCAAGCUCUUCGGCUUCUGAAUCAAAUGCAAGUACUUCUGUUGUAAACAGAAUCCACCCACAUGCUGCCAGCACGGUUGUGGCCCCGGCAGCAGUUCUUCCUGGGUUAGCACAGGUGAUCACGGCAGUAUCAGCUCAGCAGAAUUCCAGUUUGAUUCCCAAAGUCCUAAUCCCUGUUAAUAGCAUUCCUACCUACAAUGCUGCAUUGGAUAACAACCCCCUUUUGCUUAACACCUACAACAAAUUCCCUUAUCCAACAAUGUCAGAGAUAACUGUUCUUUCUGCUCAAGCAAAAUAUACAGAGGAACAGAUCAAGAUAUGGUUUUCAGCCCAACGUCUAAAACACGGUGUUAGCUGGACUCCCGAGGAAGUAGAGGAGGCAAGAAGGAAACAGUUCAACGGAACAGUACACACUGUACCUCAGACCAUAACUGUCAUUCCCACCCACAUCUCCGCGGGGAGUAAUGGUUUACCAUCCAUCUUACAGACAUGCCAAAUAGUUGGCCAGCCGGGUCUGGUCCUCACACAAGUAGGUGGCACAAACACCUUGCCAGUAACGGCACCUAUAGCCUUGACAGUGGCAGGGGUUCCAAAUCAAACGAAUGUACAGAAAAGUCAGGUCCCCACUACUCAGCCGACCACAGAAACCAAGCCAGCAACAGCAGCAGUCCCAUCCGCUCAGCUGGUCAAACAUGAAGCCACAUUGGCAAACCCUGAUUCAUUUGGCAUUCGGGCUAAAAAGACUAAAGAGCAGCUGGCAGAAUUAAAAGUCAGCUACCUGAAGAAUCAGUUUCCCCAUGAUGCUGAAAUUAUCAGACUGAUGAAAAUCACAGGACUGACCAAAGGAGAGAUUAAAAAAUGGUUUAGUGACACAAGGUACAACCAGAGAAAUUCAAAGAGUAAUCAGUGCUUACAUCUCAACAAUGACUCCUCUGCCACUAUCAUCAUAGACUCGAGCGAUGAAAUCACAGAAUCCCCAGCUGUUGUGACUUCACAGCAGAAACAGUCCUGGAAUCCUUUUCCUGACUUUACUCCCCAGAAGUUUAAAGAGAAGACAGCGGAGCAGCUUCGUGCCCUGCAGGCAAGUUUUCUCAACAGCUCCGUACUUACAGAAGAAGAACUAAAUAGGUUAAGAGCGCAAACCAAACUCACCAGAAGGGAAAUUGAUGCUUGGUUUACAGAGAAGAAGAAAUCAAAAGCUUUAAAGGAAGAGAAAGUGGAAGUAGAGGAAAGCAAUGCAGGUAGUUCCAAAGAAGAAGCUGGAGAAACUUCUCCUGGAGAUGAAACUAGUGCACCUAAGUCAGGGAGUACUGGCAAGAUAUGUAAAAAAACACCCGAGCAGCUGCACAUGCUUAAAAGUGCAUUUGUCCGAACACAGUGGCCAUCACCAGAAGAGUAUGACAAGUUGGCUGAAGAAAGCGGGCUUGCUAGAACAGACAUAGUUAGUUGGUUUGGGGACACCCGUUAUGCUUGGAAAAAUGGAAACUUAAAAUGGUACUACUACUAUCAAAGCGCCAAUUCAAGUAGCAUGAAUGGUCUGUCUUCUCUUAGGAAAAGGGGGAGAGGGAGACCAAAAGGCAGGGGGAGAGGAAGACCUCGCGGGCGGCCCAGAGGAGGCAAGAGAAUGAACAACUGGGACAGGGGGCCGUCCCUCAUCAAAUUUAAAACUGGAACUGCAAUACUUAAGGAUUAUUAUCUGAAGCACAAAUUUCUUAAUGAGCAAGACCUCGAUGAACUUGUUAACAGAUCACAUAUGGGUUACGAGCAGGUCAGAGAAUGGUUUGCCGAAAGACAGAGAAGAUCGGAGUUAGGUAUAGAAUUAUUUGAGGAAAACGAGGAGGAAGAUGAAGUUAUUGAUGAUCAGGAAGAGGAGGAAGAAGAAACAGAUGACAGUGACACUUGGGAACCCCCACGACAUGUGAAGCGGAAGCUUUCUAAAUCAGAUGACUGAAAUGGAAAGUUACCCAUUCUCCAGAAGGAAGACUGGUGGUGGUUUGAAGAUUAACACAUACUAAAGAUAACUAAAAUCUGCCUAAAACGUUGGAGGAGAAUCAAUUCUUCAACUCCAGAUGUCUGAUUUACUGUGAAUGGCCCAAUCUUUGAUGACAUUGAAAACGUUUGGGGGCAUAUACAAUCUCAAAAAAUAGGAUCCAAUACCCAAAAGAAAUGGAAUUCAGUGUUGUGCCAAAGUUAAACUACUGCAAAUGGCAGAAGUCCUACAAUGUACAUAGAACACUAAUUAAAAAAACAACUUGUAAAAAUUCAGAUUUUAAUACAGUACAUUUUUAUUCUGAUAUGAUGGAGACAUUCUGAUUCUUAGACUUUCUGAGGAAGUUUAAUGACCACUAGAGCUUGUCCUCAUAUUUUUUUCAGCUUAAUACUGUGUGUCUUGUAAGAUGGGCCUUAUUGCCUGUAUUCUUUGAUAUGUGAUUAAGCCUAUAGCUUUCAGUGACCAAACAUUUUACAGAGCAAAAAUUGUUAGAAGCAGGAAAAAGAAAAAUCUGGUUUAUUUCUAUGUCUCAUUUAUCAGGCCCUGCACUAAGAUUAAGAGUUGUGCAUGGGUUUAUAUAAUUUCAAUGUAUGUAAAAAACUAUUGACACAUGUUGGAGCAAAGAGGUUUUGUGGUAUCAUUGGCGCUUAAUGAUUGGACCUUUCAUUGAACACAUUCAUGGAUACCACUAUUACUACUUGUAAUACUCCAUUACUGUUUUUCAUUAGAAACUGAAUUAGCUUUUUUUUUUUUUUUAAACUGAACAUAAUCAGUACUGAAGAAGGGAAAGAAACUGGCAUAGGAAUUUCAAGAGGGUGAAACUCUGAAAUAAAUGUUGUACCAAAAAUGUGAAAAGGAAUCAUGUAGUAAAUAUUAACUUACUCUUUUCUUACAAUCAGAGAGAAAUCAGAAAUGUUUGUACAGGUGUCAGAUCAGAGCUUUCAAAAAUUAUCUUUCAGUGAAAUUCUACUCUGUGUAACAGUUUCAGUGAAUAAAGAAAAAGAAUUCUGAACUGAUCAGAAUGAGUUAAAGCUUAGCUCUUCACUUAUGAAUUAUGGGAGUGUUAACUGUUAACUCUUGCCAUUUCAGGAGACUGAAAGUUCCUCCUAACUCAUAAACUUUGUAAAGACCGGUGCUGUUCAUUCGUGUUGAGAAGGAUCCUUUUCUUUGUGACUAUAGGACCAUUUUUCAAAAUGUGCUUUCUUCAUAGAAGAAAUGUUCAGUUUCAUUAGCUUUGGAUUUUAAGAUGUUUUUCUGAAUGACCAGAUGUAGUGGGCUUGGCCAGUUUAUUUUAUCUAAUUUAAUGAAUAAUAAAUAUUAAGCUCUUGUUUUUACCUUAAUGUUUUGUCAGCUAAUGAAAAUGUUAUGAAAAAGCCUUGACUAUGCAUGCUGCUUUCAUUUUUAUAAACUUUUCAUUUUUAACUAUAGCUUUAUUAGUAAUUCCAAAAUGCUGCAAUUUAGCUGAUUUCUUCACUCAGACAGCUGGCUUUGUGGGUGGCUUUUUCAUACUACUGUUAACUUUUUAAAGAGAAGCAAUGUAAAGACUGUAACAAUUUAAUGCACUAAACUGUUCUUUCUUUUACACGUUUAAAAACUUCUUAAAGCACUCUGUAUUAUAAAGAUUAAAUUGCUCCCUUUUUUAAACCAUU